rnacentral:tRNA from 1 species
CGGGGCGUGGCUCAGCUUGGCUAGAGUGUCCGCCUUGGGAGCGGAAGGUCGCUGGUUCGAAUCCAGUCGCCCCGACCA